rnacentral:rRNA from 1 species
UACGUAGGGGGCGAGCGUUGUCCGGAGUUACUGGGCGUAAAGGGCACGCAGGCGGUCGGGUAAGUUUGGAGUGACAUUCCUCGGCUUAACUGAGGAAGGUCUUCGAAGACUGCCCGACUUGAGGGCUCACGAGGGACACGGAAUUCCGGGUGGAGUGGUGAAAUGCGUAGAGAUCCGGAGGAACACCAAAGGCGAAGGCAGUGUCCUGGGGAGUACCUGACGCUCAGGUGCGAAAGCCAGGGGAGCGAACGGG